rnacentral:misc_RNA from 1 species
AAGUCGUAACAAGGUUUCCGUAGGUGAACCUGCGGAAGGAUCAUUAUAGAAUAUUCUUGAUGGGUUGUAGCUGGCUCUACGGGGCAUGUGCACACUUGUCUUGACUUUAUUCAUCCACCUGUGCACCUUUUGUAGUCUUGGGGGUUGAGAGCAGUCGACUAUCGGAUGGGCUAUUAUGGCCUUUCCGGACGUGAGGAAUGCUGAGUGCGAAAGCAUACAGCUCUUCUCAAAUGACUUGCGAAACCUCUCCCUCGAGUACUAUGUAUUCAUAUACCACAUAGUAUGUCGUAGAAUGUGAUCAAUGGGAUAAUCAUAUACAACUUUCAGCAACGGAUCUCUUGGCUCUC